rnacentral:lncRNA from 1 species
CUUUUUCAAACUUAAUGGAGGCCUGAGCCAAAACAUGCAACGGUGGUGACUGGAAUAAGCUUGAAUUCAGAGAAAACUCUUAUUACAUCCUGGGGACAGUCUAAUUUGUGAGAAGAGAAAGCAAGCUGCUGCUUUACUGGGAGAACAGCCUGAGAGCACAUUAUAGGGGCACUGGGAAUAUCAGAUGGAGGAUUGCCAGUUGUGGCGCAUCCCUGAUCAUUACAGAGCUAGUGAGCCUUUGCUAAUUGGUCCCAGCUAAGGCCCUGUGUUUUGCUUUACUUGAAACUGGCUUUGCACUUGUACUUUACUGCACUGCAAGACCACAUCAAGCAGCUGGGAGUCACGGUUGAAAGUGCUACUUGAGAUACCAUUGAGCAACUUGCUCCUUAGAGCAGAGGACUGUAACCUUUUUUGUUCUGCGCUGAAUGGCAACAGCUGAAGUCUAAGGAAGGGAGGCUGCAUGCUGAGGGUGAGCUCAAGCCGUGCAGGUUUAUUACCUGGUACAUUCUGUAUGCCUGGGAACAACAGCACUUCCCUUUGGAAAGAGGCUCUGGAGCUUCGCGUGAGUGAGCCAGGGACAGAUGGGAAUAGAAGCAAGAUGAUCUCUAUCACUUCUGGUGGGAGGUUUAUGGUUAGGAUGUGAAGUUUCCCAGAUCAAGCAGUGGGAGGCUGCUGCAGGUGAAAAAAUCUGCUUGGUACAUGGAUUGCCUUUCAUGCUUAGUUUAUUGGAAAAGUGAAAACUGUGCGGGAGGGGAGUUUUCUCUUGCUAUAUUUGCAGUGGUACAGGACAUCAAAAUCUCUGGUGACAGUUGUUGCAGGGGAGGACAAUUGUAUAGGUUAGGCAACAAAGGCAAAUAUUAUUUCAGGCCUUGUUCCUAGUUAUUUAGGAUAAAAUUAGGGUGUAUAUUGUUAUGAGAACAUUGUGAACAGAAGUAAAUAAAACAAAGUUGCAGAAACUUAAAGUUAAGGCU